rnacentral:rRNA from 1 species
AAAUUAAUCCAAUAUAAUUGAAUUAAUCAAGUUACCAUAGGGAUAACAGCGUAAUAAAUUUUCAAAGACCAUAUAUAAAAAUAUGUUUGCGACCUCGAUGUUGAAUUAAUAACCUAGUUGGAGCAAAGACUAAAUUAGGAAGUCUGUUCGACUUUUAAAAAAUUACAUGAUUUGAGUUCAGACCGGCGUAAGCCAGGUCGGUUUCUAUCUUCUUAAAAAUUUCUUACAGUACGAAAGGGCCCAAGAAAAUAAUUUAAUUAUAAUAUUGGCAGAUAAAUGCAUUAGAAUUAGAAUCUAAUAAAACUAAAAUAUCAUUCAUUUUAUCUUACCUAAUAAUUACUGUAAGU